UCAAACUUGGUCAUUUAGAGGAAGUAAAAGUCGUAACAAGGUUUCCGUAGGUGAACCUGCGGAAGGAUCAUUAUUGAAUAAAUUUGGUGGGUUGUCGCUGGCUCUUUGGAGCAUGUGCACACCUGCUAACUUUAUCCAUCCACCUGUGCACCUCCGUAGUCUUGGGAGAUUGGGAACUGGUUUAGACUCGAAAAGCCCUGUGGGCCUUUCGGAUGUAAGGGAUGCUUUGCGGAUGCAUAGCUUUCCUCGCAAGCCAGCUAUCACUCCAGAGACUAUGCCUUUUCAUAUACUAUAUUGUCUGUUAUAGAAUGUAUUUAGUGGGCUUCUGUGCCUAUAAAAAACAAUACAACUUUCAGCAACGGAUCUCUUGGCUCUCGCAUCGAUGAAGAACGCAGC
rnacentral:misc_RNA from 1 species